rnacentral:tRNA from 1 species
GAGGGUAUAGCUCAGUGGUGGAGCACAUGCUUAGCAUGCAUGAGGUCCUGGGUUUUGUCAAUCCCUAGUAGCUCCA